GCCUCGAUAGCUCAGUGGUAGAGCUCCUGUAUGUGGUGAACGGAAGCCCUUAGCAAUCAAACAAGGAGGCGCAGGUUCGAAUUUUGCCUGGUGGCU